rnacentral:lncRNA from 8 species
CUGGAGCCCUGUGUGUAGGGAAUGAAGUAAGAAGAGGGAUGAUUUAAUGUGUGGAGACUGUUUUUGCCUUAAUGCUGGGUCUCUUAUAAAUGUUGGGAGACAGUUGGGGUGUGUGAGCAGUAUACAGACAUGUCCCUUUUACACUGAUAAUGGCAGUGCCUACAGUAUUUCACCCAAAAACAUCUUACCGGGACACGUCACAUCCUGACUAUCACAGAAAAAGAAAAAGGAGCACUCGGAUCUCUGCAGUAAUCUUUCAGGUUUAUGAGGGACAAACAGACGGUCUAACGUUUUCCCGGUGUGUGUUCAGAGCAAGGAGUGCCAGGCGGUGUUCGAAGGCCACACCAACAAGAUCAACUGCCUGCUGGUGUCGUUUCUGUCUGGCCUGCCGGCGCCUCUACACCGUCUGCAGUGAUCUCAGCAUCCGCUGCUACAUCAUCAAGUCAAAUAAGUGCCUUGAGGAGAUCUUUGUCGGACCAGGUGCUGUGUCUGCACAUUCACUGGAGCAUUCUGUACGUAGGCCUGGCAAAUGGAUCCUUGGUCAGCUUUUAGCUCAAGGGAUGAGUCUAGGUAUUCAUAAAGUGUCACAGCGCAAAAAUAUUGAACAUGACAAAAUGAUCUACCGAGGUGCACUUUGAAGUUGAUAGAACAGUCCACAUAUACUUUUCCUCUGCAAACAAAACAAGUGCUGAAUAUAAAAUUCUGACAACCCCAUAGAUAGUUUAUCUACUUCCCUAGGUGGCUUGUUGUUGUGUGUUCUUUGCGAGUAGAGUGCAGAUCAGGUCCUCCCUAUCCAUAUGAUUGUAUUCAUUACGGUCGAAAAGGCACAACCAAUCCAAGAUCGGCAGUCCUUUUCUGAGACGCUUUGAUGGGUCCAAGUCCUAACCUCUAUUCAACAUACAGUGAGGGAAAAAAGUAUUUGAUCCCCAGCUGAUUUUGUAUGUUUGCCCACUGACAAAGAAAUGAUCAGUCUAUAAUUUUAAUGGUAGUUUUAUUUGAACAGUGAGAGACAGAAUAACAACAAAAAAUUCCAGAAAAAACACAUGUCAAAAAUGUUAUUAAUUGAUUUGCAUUUUAAUGGGGGAAAUAAGUAUUGCGUUCUGUGCAAGCAGAGUCAGGGUAUGUGCAGCAGUUUGGGCCGCCUGGCUCGUUGCAAACUGUGUGAAGACCAUUUCUUCCUAACAAAGACCGUAAUUAAUUUGCCAGAAUUUUAAAUAAUUAUGACAUAACAUUGAAGGUUGUGCAAUGUAACAGCAGUAUUUAGACUUAUGGAUGCCACCCGUUUGAUAAAAUACAGAACAGUUCCGUAUUUCACUGAAAGAAGAAACGUUUUGUUUUCGAAAUGAUAUUUUCCAGAUUUCACCAUAUUAAUGACCUAAGGCUCGUAUUUCUGUGUGUUUAUUAUAUUAUAUAAUAAAUUAUAGUUAUAUUAUCCAUUUUAUUUUCCAGUGAUUGCAUGUUAGCAAGUAGAAUUUAUGGCAAUGGGGGUUUACUCGCUCACCUACGGAUUCUCAAAAGGCAGCCUGAUCUGCGUCCUCUUUUCCUUCGUCUUUUCUUUACGCAAAUUACGUGGAUCUGGGCCUGUUCCCGGGAAAGCAGUAUAUCUUUCUCGUCUGACUCAUUAAAGGAAAAAGCUAGAGACAGACUGUCUCGCACACUAAUUCAUAGAUAUACUCCCUAACCCCACUCUCCCUCCCCUCACAGUUACUCUGAGGUGCUGUUCUUCUCCUUACUCGUGGGGGUCGAAGGUUGAAGGGAUGAUCACGUUCUCCUCGGGGGGCAGGCAGAAGCGCUCGCUCACCUCGUGCAGAUUUUAAUGUAGGAUUUGCACUGGCCUUGGAGGUAUUGUAGAGGAAGAAGUCUUUCUGCAGGUGCUGCCGGCUCCCAACCAUCUAGGGAGAGGAGGAUGGAGGGAUCGAAAUACAGGAGGGAGAGAGGGGUGAUGCACAAAAAAGGAAUAAAAAAUCAAGGCAGACCUUCUGUUGAAUAUUUUCAAAUACCAAUGCUCUGCUUGAUUUGUUUACCUGGUCCAAUAGAACCUAUGGAUUAGUCUCAAAAAUGCAAACAAAGCGCACCUCAAAAUUGUCAUGUAUUGUACAUACAGUUGAAGUCGGAAGUUUACAUACACUUAAGUUGGAGUCAUUAAAACUAGUUUUUCAACCACUCCACAAAUGUCUUGUUAACAAACUAUAGUUUUGGCAAGUCGGUUAGGACAUCUACUUCGUGCAUGACACAAGUAAUUUUUCCAACAAUUGUUUACAGACAGAUUAUUUCACUUAUAACUCACUGUAUCACAAUUCCAGUGGGUCAGAAGUUUACAUACACUAAGUUGACUGUGCCUUUAAACAGCUUGGAAAAUACCAGAAAAGGAUGUCAUGGCUUUAGAAGCUUCUGAUAGGCUAAUUGACAUAAUUUGAGUCAAUUGGAUGUGUACCUGUGGUUGUAUUUCAAGGCCUACCUUCAAACUCAGUGCCUCUUUCCUUGACAUCAUGACGCGCCAAGAGUGUGCAAAGCUGUCAUCACGGCACAGGGUGGCUACUUUGAAGAAUAUCAAAUAUGUGUUUAACACUUUUUGGGUUACUACAUGAUUUCAUAUCUGUAGAAAAUAGUAAAAAAUAAAAACAAUAUAGAAAAUAGUAAAAAGAAAGAAGAACCCUUGAAUGAGUAGGUGUGUCCAAACUUUUGACUGGUACAGGGCCACAGUGUCUCCUGACCCCUCCUGUCUCAGCCUCCAGUAUUUAUGCUGCAGUAGUUUAUGUGUCGGGGGGCUAGGGUCAGUCUGUCACAUCUGGAGUAUUUCUCUUGUCUUUUCCGGUGUCCUGUGUGAAUUUAAGUAUGCUCUCUCUAAUUUUCUCUUUCUUUCUUUCUUUCUCUCUCUCGGAGGACCUGAGCCCUAGGACCAUGCCUCAGGACUACCUGGCUUGAUGACUCCUUGCUGUUCCCAGUUCACCUGGCCGUGCUGCUGCUCCAGUUCCAACUGUUCUGCCUGCAGCUAUGGAACCCUGACCUGUUCACCGGACGUGCUACCUGUCCCAGACCUGCUGGAACCCUGACCUAUUCACCGGACGUGCUACCUGUCCCAGACCUGCUGUUUUCAACUCUCUAGAGACAGCAGGAGCGGUAGAGAUACUCUCAAAGAUCGGCUAUGAAAAAGCCAACUGACCCUUACUCUUGUGUUACUGACAUGUUGCACCCUCGACAACUACUAUGAUUAUUAUUAUUUGACCAUGCUGGUCAUUUAUGAACAUUUGAACAUCUUGGCCAUGUGCUGUUAUAAUCUCCACGCGGCACAGCCAGAAGAGGACUGGCCACCCCUCAUAGCCUGGUUCCUCUCUAGGUUUCUUCCUAGGUUUUGGCCUUUCUAGGGAGUUUUUCCUAGCCACCGUGCUUCUACACCUGCAUUGCUUGCUGUUUGGGGUUUUAGGCUGGGUUUCUGUACAGCACUUUGACAUAUCAGCUGAUGUAAGAAUAUAUAUAAAUAAAUUUGAUUUGAAAAUUUGAUUUGGUACUGUGUGUGUGUGUGUGUAUAUAUAUAUAUAUAUAUAUGCCAAAAUAACAUGCAAAACAAGCAAAAAAUUAUAAUAUUCAUAUAUAUAUAUGUGAAUAUAAUUAUUUUUUUGCUUGUUAUAUAUAUAUAUAUAUAUAUGUGAAUAUUAUUAUUUUUUGCUUGUUUUGCAUGUUAUUUUGGCAUUAAUACGUGUCACAUAACAGUU